CACCACCUCCGGCAUAUGGGGCCGGCGCCCUACUCCUUUGAGCCACAGGCUAAAAAAGAAAAAGCCGUUGUAUUUAAUAAUCUUAUCUUCGGCAUGCUUUGCCUUUACGUAGAACGCUAAGGCUAAGUAAAUACUCAGAAUAUUUAAAAUAGCCAUCUUGAUGUGCCAUAUACUUUAUCGGCAAAAUGGAAUUGUAACCUAACUUGUGUUGGAUGACACUAAUGUGUUUUCUUCCGUAGUUGCAUGAAAUUUGGGUGCAUUGUUUUUAUUUUCUAUUUACUUUAAACAGUAAAGCACCAUUUUUUUCUGUUAUUGAGCCUUUCCUAUCAGUGUCAGAAAUCCUGUUUUUAAAUAGUGCCUGAAUUUCUCCUACCCAAUGGCCCCACAAUCCUUAUGCGUUAACUCGAUGGCUAAUUUUCAAGACCGGUAAAUUUAAGUGGUUUUGCUUAUUUCUGAGCAAGAAAGUUCUUUCAGCCACACAGACUUACCCUAAACUCUGGGCAGCCUCUAAAUGAAAAAAACCUGAUGAGGUAUUGAGGUGGGUUAAGCCUUUUGUGAGAAAGGAGCAGUCUCUGCGUCCCUACCGCUGUCCCAAAUGACCGCCCUGGGCUCAGUGCAGUCUAACACCUGAACAUUGCUGACUUUAGAUUAUGAAUAUGAGUUUGAGGCCAAAAAACUUGGCUCUCCUACGUGUAGUUGAGUGACCUUCGAUGUGUCACUUAACUUCUGAUUCAGUUCUUGUAUCUGCAAAAUGGGAAUAAUUAUUUCUGCCUCACAGAACUGGUGUGAAGUUGACACCAUCAAAGGCCGUUGAAUUUUGGGUGUGUUUUUCCUUAAGAGGAUUCAGAAGUGUAUUUGAGGACUUAGGGAUAAUUAAAAGGUACUGGAGGCACAUAAAAUGCAGAUUCAACAAGAAACACAUUAAAGGAUUGUUGGGUAGUGAUGAAGGCCCAACAUAGAUUUGAAAAUAACGAAUUUCUGAAGUUCUACAGAAUUUUGUACGUGAUGUUGGCAGGCUUUAAAUGGAAAUGGAGAGGUAGACAGGGCAGGUUGCAUGGAGCUGAAGAAAGACAAGCAGAUGUGGGCAGUGCCUGGCUCAAAGGGCGCUGGCCCUAUAUGCUGGAGGUGGCGGGUUCAAACCCAGCCCCAGCCAAAAAAGAAAAAGACAAGCAGAUGUGCAUUUUGAAUGACUCUUUGACAGCCUACACUUGCACAAAUACCUUCCAAAACCCUGGCGAGGGGCCUAGCAAUUUUUACCUACAUAAUUGUAUAUUUUCUGAAAGAAUUAUCCUUCCACCAAGUCGCAUAAGCUUCAGGCCCCUUAAAACCUGAAUCUACCCAAGUGGCAAGAUAAAAGAUCUUGUUUACUGGUGGAGAAUGGAUUGGAAAAAAGGAAGAAGUGGCAGAUCAUGCAGGAAACUGUUGCAGAAGCCCAGGUGAGGGGUGCUGCUGGCUCAUGCCAGGGUGGAGGCAGCAAGGAAGGAGAGAGAUUUUCCUCUAAGCUGCGGGAGGAUAGGAACCACAUCUGUUUAUUUCAUUUAUGUGUCUCCAGCGUCUGGUGCGGGGCUGGCAGUACGUACUGCUCACUCCUGUGUGUACCCUGAGAGGGUUCUGUGCCAGUCCUCGGGGGCCAACCAGAACACGGACUAACACUGCUGUCGGUACAGAGACCUGAGCUGGGAGAAGGGAGCUGCCGUGGGAAGGAAAGCACAGAGGGUAGAACCAUGGAAAAGCAGCCUCAGGACAGCAGGAAAGGCCUGGCGCCCAGGGAGGUGCCCCUGGCAGUCCGGCUGCUGCUGGCCAUGGCCCUCAUGAACGCGCUGCUCUACCUCUGUCUGGGCCGGGUCUUCAUCUCCCCCCAGCAUUACUCGGGGAACCCUGGGCACUGUCCCUAUGGCCACUUCAAGAUAGGACAGAUGAAAAACUGCUCACCGUGGCUAUCCUGCGAGCAACUGAGAACAGAAGUGAGGCAGCUGAAGCGUGUUGGGGAAGGAGCUGUGAAGAGGGUCUUUCUUUCUGAGUGGAAGGAACGAAAAGUUGCUCUCUCUCGUCUCACCAGUCCAGAGAUGAAAGAUGAUUUCCUCCAUGGUCUGCGGAUGCUGAAAUCCCUCCAGAGCGAACAUGUCGUCACGCUGCUUGGCUACUGUGAGGAUGACACCACUAUUCUUACUGAGUAUCACCCCUUAGGCUCCUUGAGCAACCUGGAAGAAACACUGAAUCUGUCCAAGUACCAGCGCGUGAACACAUGGCAGCACAGGCUGCAGCUGGCCAUGGACUACGUCAGGGUCAUCAGCUACCUGCACCACAGCCCCCUGGGCACGCUGGUCAUGUGCGACUCCAAUGACCUGCCCAAGACGCUCUCCCAGUACCUGCUGACGAGUAAUUUCAGCAUCGUGGUGAACGAUCUGGACGCCCUGCCCCUGGUGAACCACAGCUCUGGGACACUCGUGAAGUGCGGCCACAGGGAGCUGCAUGGAGAUUUUGUGGCCCCGGAGCAACUGUGGCCCUUUGGGGAGGGUGUGCCUUUUGACGACGAUCUCAUGCCCUCAUAUGACGAGAAGGUUGAUAUCUGGAAGAUCCCAGAUGUCUCCAGUUUCCUUCUGGGACAUGUUGAAGGGAGUGACAUGGUUCGAUUCCAUUUGUUUGAUAUUCACAAGGCAUGUAAGAGCGAGACUGCUACAGAGAGGCCCACUGCUCAGGACGUUCUGGACACUUACCAGCAGGUUUUAAAUUCACUCAGAGACACCGCGAUGUCUCAGACAAGAGAAAUGCUUUAAAAACUGGUCCAAUCUUUGAAGGAUGGGAUUGAGGAUCAAAUGGAAGUCACAGCAGUUCCACUCUGAUGGGGGAGUUUUUGCCUGCUUUUUGCCAGUUUAGCCAUGUGGUUUUUUUUCUACAGCCACAUACAUGUUUGAGUAUGUUCUUCUUUUGGCCACCAGGAUGGAAGUUGCUGCACAAGAGCACCCAGGCCUGAUUUAAAUCUGGCUUCGCUUGUCUGAUGCGUCUUCAUCUUCCUGGUGAAGAUGUAGAGGAGUGGCAAACCUAACCAGAAUUCAAAGGAAAUAACAAAAAUGUAGCCAUAAAGAGGCUUCUCCUGCCCUAAUAAAUGGAUUUACAUGUAUAAGCUUGCAAGAAACACAUAUAAGGAAGACAUUUCAGGCCAGGUACAGUGGCACAUGCCUGUAAUCCCAGCAUUGUGGGAGGCUGAGGAGGGUGGAUUGCUUGAGGUCAGGAGUUCGAGACCAGCCUGAGCAAAAGCAAGACCCCAUCUCUACUAAAAAUAGAAAAACUAAGGCAAGAGGAUCACUUGAGCCCAAGAGUUGGAGGAUGCUGUGAGCUAUGACGCCACGGCACUCUACCCAGGGUGACAGCUUGAGACUGUCUCAAAAUAAAAAAAAGGAAGAUAUUUCAAUGGAAGUAUAUGAAAGAAACAUACAGGAGCUCUUCAAGGAGCAUUUUUCCUAUAAUUUUUAUAAUGUAUGAUUCUAAUCUAAUGGAUGUACAAUAACAAGUGUUGGUGAAGUUGUGCAAAAAUUGGAACCCCCAUACAUUGCAAAGUGGGAAUAAGCAAUGGUACAGCCACUUUGGAAAACAGUCUGGCAGUUCUUCAAAAAGUAUACGAUAGAGUUAUCAUAUGCUACAGCAAUUCUGCUUCCAAUAUAUAUCCAAGAGAAUUGAAAGCACAUAUGGACACCAAAAGAAAGUCUAUAUUGUACCUGAUUGUUCAGGUAGCAUUAUUCAUAAUAGACAAAGGUAAAAAUAACCCAAAUGCUCAUUAGCUGACGAACAAAUGUGGUAUAUCCUACAAUGGAAUAUUCACCCUUAAAAAGAAUGAAAUUCUGUCACGUAACAACAUGGAUGAACCUUAAAAACAUACGAAAGAAGCCGGACACAAAAGAUGACCUAUCAGGCCAGGCAGGGUGGCUCUUGCCUGUAAUCCCAGCACUCUGGGAGGCUGAGGCAGGUAGAUUGCCUGAACUCAUGAGUUUGAUACCAGCCUGAGCCAGAGCGAGACCUCGUCUCGAAAAAAUAGCCAGGUGUUGUGGCGGGCGCCUGUAGUCCCAGCUAUUUGGGAGGCUGAGGCAAGAGAAUCACUUAAGCCCAAGAGUUUGAGGUUGCUAUGAGCUAUGAUGCCAAGGUACUCUACCAAGGGUGACAUAGACUGUGUCCAAAAAAAAAAAAAAAGUUCGGAAAAUACUUGUUUUGCCUCAUUCUUGGCUGAAAAUUUGACCAUAUGAUUUCCGUAAAGCAAUGGACAAGGAAGAUGCUCUGCUGGGCCUUACUGCAACUUUCAGCCAGUUCUUGUGGAUUUUCAGUGCAUUCCUUAUUCCCACCUGCUCUAAUUUCAGAGCUUUUCCAGCGUCCUGAGGCGCAGACAGUUCUACUUGUCAGGCUGUUUCAGUUUUUCCUGCUCGGCCGCUCUGUGUUCCAUAUCAGGAAAUUUUGUUGUGCUUCCUUUUUGCUGUUUAUUAUUUUUUUUUCUCUCUAUGGCUUAAACCUAUUUAUUUCUUUACCAACAUUUUAGUUUGGUUUCAGAAGGGAGUAGAAAUGUGUGUGUUCCAUCGCUUGCAUUUAACCAGAUAAACGUGGGCUCAGCACCUGUAGCUCCCUGGUUAGAGUGCCAGCCACAUACACCAAGGCUGGCGGCUUCGAACCCUGACCCGGGCCCACCAAACAACAGUGACAGCUACGACAACAAAAAAAAAAUAGCCAGGUGUUAUGGUGGGCACCUGUAGUUCCAGCUACUUGGGAGACUAAGGCAAGAGAAUUGCGUAAGCCCAAGAGUUUGAGGUUGCUGUGAGCUUGUGCACCACGGCACUCUACCGAGGGCAACAUAAUCAGACUGUCUCAAAAAAAGAAAACCCAGAUGAACAUGUACAGUCAACAGUUCUAGAAGGAACUGUGUCCCUCUAGAAAUUUUAAAUAACAUAGAAAAAAAAAAGGCAACUAACUUAGUUUUCAGGAACAUACCAUUAUGAUCAAUGUAGUAUAUUCCUCUUAAGUGUUGAACUGUAUAUUAUGAACUAUAUGGAAUGAGUUCUAACACAAUUCUGUAAUAACUAGUCCUUAAGGCGAAAGUUAAUACUGAAGUAUGGUUGGCUUCAGAAAUGGCUAUCGCUGCAAUUGAAAACCACAGUGGUGUAUUACUACAGCCUUCUAUGAUCCAAGGAGUCUGGAAAUUCUAUGCAAACCUAUUCCAUUCUUUCUUCGGGGAUAACCUGUUCUGAAGUAAAUGCUUCCACCUGCAGUAGUGGUACCGUACCAUACCGAUGCAAAGAAUUGUGGUUACCUAGCAGACUCUGCCAAAUUUCCUAAAGCAAGGCUUGAACUCACCAAGAAUUGCGGUCAUAUUUUACCUGACAUCACUAAAGACUAACUCUUCAAGAUGCUCACUGUUGGAAAGGAUCCAAGGCAGAUUUUCUUUGGUCUUGCUCCAGGAUGUGUGGUGAACGUGGCAGACAAGAAAAUCCUAAAACCCACAGAUGAGACUCUCCGCAAGGAGUGUAGCUCAUGAGUCCCCUCCUUAGAAAGCAGAGGUGUUAAAGAAUGCUAGAAAGGGGGGUGCCUGUGGCUCAAAGGAGUAGGGCACCAGCCCCAUACACCAGAGGUGGCGGGCCCUGGCCAAAAAAAAAAAAAAAAAAAAAUGCUAGAAAAGAGACAGAAAGAUAUGUAUUUCUUUUUGCAUUUUCCUAAUGUAUAAUUCUCCAGAUAUUGAUUUUAAUUUUUAGUGUAAUCCUAUUUCUUUUUUUUUUUUUUUUUUUAGAGAGAGUCUCACUUUGUCGCCCUCUGUAGAGCUGUGGCAUCACAGCUCACAGCAACCUCCAGCUCUUGGGCUUAGGCGAUUCUCUUGCCUCAGCCUCCCGAGUAGCUGGGACUACAGACACUCGCCACAAGGCUUGGCUAUUUAUUUUUUUUUGCAGUCAAAAUGAAUGAUUUAUUAAGGGAUGGCUGGUGCUGGCUCAGGCACAGCAGCCACGCGUGGCUAAUUUUUUGUUGCAGUUUGGCCAGGGUUGGGUUCGAACCCGCCACCCUCGGUAUAUGGGGCUGGCGCCCUACUCCCUGAGUCACAGGCGCCGCCCAAUCCUAUUUUCUUUUUCCUUUAAAAUUAAAACUCUAGGAAGCAAGCACUGCCCAGGGGAACUGAGUCUGGGUUCUAUUUCAAAGAUACAAACUCCUCUGGUGGUCUCUUGAAGGAAAAUUGUAAUUUACAAAAUUUCUCAUCUAUUUUUCCAUAAUCUUUUCCCUGGGCCUUGUUUUGUUACUGCUACAAAUCAGAAUGAGUGCACAUGUGGUACAGGAUGGGUUGGUAAGGGGCUUUGCCAGGAUCAGAGAAGAUGCUAAUGAGUUGUGGCCCCUCUUAAUCAGUAUCCUCAGGGAAGCUCUGCUACCCUGUGUCAAGAUGGUAAGCCCUCAGCUCCUGACGAAUAAGAUCAAGGAUAUGUGUUUAAAGCUUAAGGCCAUGAAUAGCUUCUUAGUUGUAUAUUUGUUAGCAAUAUUAAAGGUGAGAGAAACAAAAAUUGCAAGUGGCCAAUGCCUAUAACCCUGGCACUUUGGGAGGCUGAGGUAGGAGGAUGGCUUGAGCCCAGGAGUUUGAGGUUGCUGUGAGCUAGGCUGACAGCAUGGCGCCCUAGCCAGGAAAACAGAGGGAGGACUCUUGUCUCAAAAGAAAAAAAAAAUUACAAAUGAGUUCAUUUUCUCAACUCUGAUAAAUGUAGACAGUAAUGAUCCAGCCAUUCACAUUUUUCUUGAAGUGUAAAUAUUCCUCUUUUUUUUGUGUGGUUUUUGGCCGGGGCUGGGUUUGAACCUGCCACCUCCGGCAUAUGGGACUGGUGCCCUACUCCUUGAGCCACAGGCACCACCCUUUUUUUUUUUAAGACGGAGUCAGUUUGUCAUUUCGGUAGACUGCCGUGCCCUCACCUCACAGCAACCCCAAACUCUUGGGCACAAGCGACCCUUGCCUCAGCCUGGCAAAUAGGUGGAACAACAGGCACUUGCUCCAGCCCCAGCUGUAUUUAGGGAUGGAGUCCUACUCUUGCUCAGGCUGGUCUCAAACUCCUGAGCUCAAGCAGGCCACCCGCCUCUGCCUCCCAGAGUUCUAGGAUUACAGGUGUGAGCCACCUCCCCCGGCCCAAACGUAAAUGUUCUAAUUUAUAUAGUUUUUCUUAUUUCAGACGUCGGAGACCUUUGUCUUAGUCAUUUUAAAUGAUUUUGAAAAAAAUUGUUCAAUGAUUAAGCAAUAAAAACAAUUGGUCAUGAAAAUUAAGCCCAGUUCAGUUAGUGAGGUUAUUUAGCUUUUGAAAAGAAAUUUUAUAUCCAAAUCAUAUCAAAGCUUAAUUUACCUUGAGUGGUUAAAGGUUGAUCAUGAUAAUUCUUCCACAGUAGAAAUAAAAUGAUUCCUGGCCAUUUGAUUUUUUAAAUAAAAAUACCUACAAAAACGAAACCAAAAAACCGGUCAGCAUCCGCUUCCUAGUAUCCUUAGGAAGAAGCCUGUACUCAGCUAGACCUUCCAGGUACUGUCUGCUCCCUUCCCAAAACCCUGCCCCUUCCUUCACUAAGCGGGUUCUCUGGGUCGUUGGCAAGGCUGUUUCUUCUGCGGGGAGCACUCUUUCCCCCCUUCGCCUGGCUGACAUCCCUUGGGACUCAAGUUGAUUAACCUGUCCCUGCAGGCCCUUCUGGGAAGUAACAUAACAGCUGGGGUGCUUCUCUCAAACACUGCUUUCUCCUAACAGCACGAAUCACACAUUCUGUAAGGGGAGGGGACUGGCAAACUCUCAUGCAUAAUGUGAGGCUGGGCUCAACUACAGAUUGAACUUUACCUAAUAAACCCAAACGAUGUAACCUAA